GGUGAGUUUGAUCCUGGCUCAGAGUGAACGCUGGCGGCGUGCUUAACACAUGCAAAGUCGAACGGACUUAAGGGGCUUGCUUCUUAAGUUAGUGGCGCACGGGGUGAGUAAUAUAUAGCUAACCUGCCCUUUAGUGGGGGACAACAGAUGGAAACGUCUGCUAAUACCCCAUACUCCUUCUUACUAUAAGGUAAGUUGGGAAAGAUUUAUCGCUAAAGGAUGGGGCUUUAUUGUAUCAGCUAGUUGGUGGGGUAAUGGCCUACCAAGGCUAUGACGCAUACCUGGUCUGAGAGGAUGAUCAGGCACACUGGAACUGAGACACGGUCCAGACUCCUACGGGAGGCAGCAGUGGGGAAUAUUGCACAAUGGAGGAAACUCUGAUGCAGCAACGCCGCGUGGAGGAUGAACGCAUUUCGGUGUGUAAACUCCUUUUAUAAGGGAAGAU
rnacentral:rRNA from 1 species